UUGGCCUCCCAAAGUGCUGGGAUUACAGGCGUGAGCCACCGUGCCAAACCAGAUGACCCCCUUUUACAAGAGCCACUUGUCUCUAAGGGUGAAGAGCGACCAUCCCUAUAGCCCCCUUACCAAGUGCUCCUGAGGCUAAAACCAGGAGCAAACACUGGGGACCCUACUAAGUCCCCCAAACACUCAGUGGGGAACACCAUAUUCUACUCUCCCUCCAGCCUUGCUACCCCGUAGGGAAGCAGCAGGAGCCGAAUGGCCAGUCCUAUUGCAGGUCCCCUUCUCUAUAACUGAUAUACAGCAAUGUAAGGAAAAGCUAGGAAGCUACUCUAAAAAUCCUAGGAAAUUUGCAGAAGGGUUCCAAAAGUUGACCUUAUUACUAUUGCACUCCAGCCUGGGCAACAGGGUGGUGACAUGAUAAUAAUGUCAAUUUACAAAGAUGAUUUGAGAAUCUUGUCUGUAUGCACUUAAAACCAGCUGCAAAACAUGUGAAGCAACAAGUGACAGAAGUGAAAAGAAUGUACAAAUCUAGGUGGAGCACAGAUUUUUAGGUUAGUGAAACAUACUCCGUAUGUUUCCCAUAUCCCAAAGCAACACUGUAUUUGUCAAAGGACACUCUGAACACAACAAGCUCAGUGACUUACAUUGUAAAUUUACAUCAUUCUCCACCAUAUUCCAUGCUGCUUAACUCACACAGUACAGUGACCUUAAUCUUCCAGAAAACAUGGAUAUGAAGGAACCACACCUAAUGAAGCAGGCCCUCUCACCUUACUGAUUUAUUCCCAGAGACCACAAUGAAAGAUGUGUAGGAAAGGCAAGACUUCAUACUUUAGGAUGAAGGUCACAAAUAGUCAACUAGCCUUUUUAAGAAAUGUCAAAGUGAAUACAAUUAUUUUAUAUACUGAAUUGGCCAUUUCCACACACGCUCUUGAUCCUUUGAUGUACAUAUUACCUGGGGUUUUAACAAAUUUUGUCUUGUGGUUAUUUUACCGUAUGUAUCAUUCCAGGUCAAUCCUGGAUGGAGAAGCAGACUUAGUUAUCCAUAGUAUGAUUUACCUAACAUGGAAUCUGUUGAGAAAUUUUUUUUUUUUUUUUUUUUUUGAGACGGAGUCUUGCUCUGUCGCCCAGGCUGGAGUGCAGUGGUGCAAUCUCGGCUCACUGCAAGCUCAGCCUCCCGGGUUCAAACAAUUCUCAUGCCUCAGCCUCCUAAGUAGCUGGGACUGCAGGCACGUGCCACCACGCCUGGCUAAUUAUUUGUAUUUUUAGUAGAGACGGGGUUUCACCGUGUUAGCCAGGAUGGUCUCGAUUUCCUGACCUCGUGAUUCACCCACCUCGGCAUCCCAAAGUGC
rnacentral:lncRNA from 1 species